UGAGACAUAGCAUAAAUCUAAUGUGUUUCGCUUACACCGAAAUGAUAGCUCUGCUUGAGAGCUUGUCUUGA
rnacentral:tRNA from 1 species